rfam:Giardia intestinalis strain GS GS_B_0191, whole genome shotgun sequence.
GCCGGGAUAGCUCAGUGGUAGAGCGCUGCACUUGUAAUGCAGUGGUCGCGGGUUCAAUUCCCGCUUUCGGCU